rnacentral:rRNA from 1 species
UACGUAGGGGGCAAGCGUUGUCCGGAAUCAUUGGGCGUAAAGCGCGCGUAGGCGGCCCGGUAAGUCCGUUGUGAAAGUCAAAGGCUCAACCUUUGAAUGCCGAUGGAUACUGCCGGGCUAGAGUCCGGAAGAGGCGAGUGGAAUUCCUGGUGUAGCGGUGGAAUGCGCAGAUAUCAGGAGGAACACCAAUAGCGAAGGCAGCUCGCUGGGACGGUACUGACGCUGAGGCGCGAAAGCGUGGGGGAGCGAACAGG